GUCCUUGAGAAAAAGAGGAUCAGGUUUAGCAGCCUGGAUUACCAAAGCGCAAGAACCGCGCAAUGCGGUUUUUUU
rnacentral:sRNA from 2 species